CAGCCGCGGUAAUUCCAGCUCCAAUAGCGUAUAUUAAAGUUGUUGCAGUUAAAAAGCUCGUAGUUGAAUUUCGGGAUCAAUAUUUUGGUCAUGCCGUUGGUAUGCACUGUUAUCAUUGAUUUCUCACCUUCUAAAGAACCGUGAUGCCAUUAAUUUGGUGUUACGGGGAAGUUAGGACUGUUACCUUGAAAAAUUAAGAGUGUUUAAAGCAGGCUCACGCUUGAAUACAUUAGCAUGGAAUAAUGAAAUGGGACAUCCGAUUCUAUUUUGUUGGUUUCUAGGAUCGAUGUAAUGAUUAAUAGGGAUAGUUGGGGCGAUUAGUAUUCAAUUGUUCAGAGGUGGAAAUUACUUGGAGUUUAUUGUAAGAACUAACUAACUUGCGAAAGACAUUUUGCCAAGGAUGUUUUCAUUAAUCAAGAACGAAAGUUAGGGAUCGAAGACGAUCAGAUACCGUCGUAGUCUUAACCUUAACCAUAAACUAUGCCGACUAGGGGAUCGGAUGAUGUUAAUUUUUAUAAUGACUCAUUCGGCACCUUACGGGAAAC
rnacentral:rRNA from 1 species